rnacentral:rRNA from 1 species
UGGGGAAUUUUGGACAAUGGGGGAAACCCUGAUCCAGCCAUCCCGCGUGUGCGAUGAAGGCCUUCGGGUUGUAAAGCACUUUUGGCAGGAAAGAAACGUCAUGGGUUAAUACCCCGUGAAACUGACGGUACCUGCAGAAUAAGCACCGGCUAACUACGUGCCAGCAGCCGCGGUAAUACGUAGGGUGCAAGCGUUAAUCGGAAUUACUGGGCGUAAAGCGUGCGCAGGCGGUUCGGAAAGAAAGAUGUGAAAUCCCAGAGCUCAACUUUGGAACUGCAUUUUUAACUACCGGGCUAGAGUGUGUCAGAGGGAGGUGGAAUUCCGCGUGUAGCAGUGAAAUGCGUAGAUAUGCGGAGGAACACCGAUGGCGAAGGCAGCCUCCUGGGAUAACACUGACGCUCAUGCACGAAAGCGUGGAGAGCAAACAGG